rnacentral:rRNA from 1 species
GACGAACGCUGGCGGCGUGCUUAACACAUGCAAGUCGAGCGGAAAGGCCCCUUCGGGGGUACUCGAGCGGCGAACGGGUGAGUAACACGUGGGUAAUCAACCCCUGACAUCGGGAUACCCCGGGGAAACCCGGAUCAAUACCGGAUAAGGUGCGGAGGCGCAGGCCGCCGUACCAAAGGUAGCUUCGGCUUCCGGUCAGGGACGAGCCCGCGGCCCAUUAGCUUGUUGGUGGGGUAACGGCCCACCAAGGCGACGAUGGGUAGCUGGUCUGAGAGGACGAUCAGCCACACUGGGACUGAGACACGGCCCAGACUCCUACGGGAGGCAGCAGUGGGGAAUCUUGCGCAAUGGGCGGAAGCCUGACGCAGCAACGCCGCGUGCGGGAAGAAGGCCCUAGGGUCGUAAACCGCUUUCAGGGGGGACGAAGCUUCCGGGGUUAUUAGCCUACGGGGUGACGGUACUCCCAGAAGAAGGUCCGGCUAACUACGUGCCAGCAGCCGCAGUAA